AGAGAAUCGCUUGAACCCAAGAGGCGGAGACUGCAGUGAGCCAAGAUCAUGCCAUUGCACUCCAGCCUGGGCGACAGAG
rnacentral:snRNA from 1 species